UACGUAGGGGGCAAGCGUUGUCCGGAUUUAUUGGGCGUAAAGCGCUCGCAGGUGGUUCGUCGCGUCGUGCGUGAAAGACCCCGGCUCAACUGGGGGAGGUCGUGCGAUACGGUCGGACUGGAGGCCAGUAGGGGGAUGCGGAAUUCCGGGUGUAGUGGUGGAAUGCGUAGAGAUGUGGAGGAACACCGAUGGCGAAGGCAGCCCCCUGGGCCAAUACUGACGCUCAUGCACGAAAGCGUGGGGAGCAAACAGG
rnacentral:rRNA from 1 species